GCUUUCGUAAGAAAGAGGAAGGUGGGGAUGACGUCAAGUCAGCGUGGCCCUCUGAUGCCUUGGGCUACACACAUGUUACAAUGGGCGUUACAAUGGGUUGCCAACCCGCGAGGGGGAGCUAAUCCCAUCAAAGGCGCCCUCAGUUCGGAUUGGAGGCUGCAACUUGCCUCCAUGAAGCUGGAAUCGCUAGUAAUCGCUGAUCAGAACGCAGCGGUGAAUACGUUCUCGAAUUUUGGACUCACUGCCCGUCAAUCUAAGGGAGCCGGGAAUACCCGAAGAUCCAUAAUUUAUGUGGGGACACGGUAAGCUCGGUAACAAGAGAUAAGUCGUAACAAGGCAAGGCUAGCGGAAGCUGGUCUUGGAUCACCUCCUUU
rnacentral:ncRNA from 1 species